UAGGGAAUAUUGGUAAUGUGCGAAAGCGCGAACCAGCAACGCCGCGUGCACGAUGAAGGCCUUCGGGUCGUAAAGUGCUUUUAGAGAGGAUGAGGAAGGACAGUACUUUCUGAAUAAGCCUCGGCUAACUACGUGCCAGCAGCCGCGGUAAAACGUAGGAGGCAAGCGUUAUCCGGAUUUACUGGGCGUAAAGCGCAUGCAGGUGGUUUUGUAAGUUGGAUGUGAAAGCUCCUGGCUUAACUGGGAGAGGUCGUUCAAAACUACAAGUCGUGAGAUUGGUAGAGGAAAAUGGAAUUCCGGGUGUAGUGGUGAAAUGCGUAGAUAUCCGGAGGAACACCAGUGGCGAAAGCGGUUUUCUGGACCAAUUCUGACACUCAGAUGCGAAAGCUAAGGUAGCAAACG
rnacentral:rRNA from 1 species